GCAGCAGGUUUGAGUUGAGCGCAGCGAAACAACGGAGCCGCUCGCGGCGACGGCCCGAAGGGCGAGCGAAGCGAGUCAUCCUGCACGACCCACCA
rnacentral:sRNA from 2 species